GGACUACCGGGGUAUCUAAUCCUGUUUGCUCCCCACGCUUUCGCUCCUCAGCGUCAGUUACUGCCCAGAGACCCGCCUUCGCCACCGGUGUUCCUCCUGAUAUCUGCGCAUUUCACCGCUACACCAGGAAUUCCAGUCUCCCCUACAGCACUCUAGUCUGCCCGUAUCGACUGCAGGCCCGAGGUUGAGCCUCGGGUUUUCACAGCCGACGCGACAGACCGCCUACGAGCUCUUUACGCCCAAUAAUUCCGGACAACGCUUGCGCCCUACGUAUUACCGCGGCUGCUGGCAC
rnacentral:rRNA from 1 species